rnacentral:rRNA from 1 species
GAGGGUACCAUGGGGGAAACCUGACGCAGCACGCCGCGUGGAGGAUGAAGUCCCUUGGGACGUAAACUCCUUUCGAUCGGGACGAUAAUGACGGUACCGGAAGAAGAAGCCCCGGCUAACUUCGUGCCAGCAGCCGCGGUAAUACGAGGGGGGCAAGCGUUGUUCGGAAUUAUUGGGCGUAAAGGGUGCGUAGGUGGUUCGGCAAGUCUUGUGUGAAAUCUUCAGGCUCAACUUGAAGUCUGCACAAGAAACUGCCGGGCUUGAGUAUGGGAGAGGUGAGUGGAAUUUCCGGUGUAGCGGUGAAAUGCGUAGAUAUCGGAAGGAACACCUGUGGCGAAAGCGGCUCACUGGACCAUUACUGACACUGAGGCACGAAAGCUAGGGGAGCAAACAGGAUUAGAUACCCUGGUAGUCCUAGCCCUAAACGAUGAUCGCUUGGUGUGGCGGGUAUCCAACCCUGCCGUGCCGAAGCUAACGCGUUAAGCGAUCCGCCUGGGGAGUACGGUCGCAAGGCUG